ACAUGUUAGACAGAUAUUUAUUUUGGCAACAACAUAAUAAAUGAUUCAAAUUAAAAAAGAAAGACAAAAUGUGUCAAAAUUGACUCAAGAAGAAAUAUAAAAUCAAAAUAAUCUUAUAAUAAUUAAAUAAAAGGGAGUCAAUAGUUGAAAGUAUUGUGGGAUAUUAUGUGUCACUUUUUUGUUUGUACAGAACUACAUACUUUUCCACAGAGAACUUAGUGCAAGGUGGAGGUGGUGUCAUAUGUGGUUUCUUAGCUCUACUUUCUUUGGGGUAACAGCUCGGGAGAGACUAGUGAGGAGAUUUUACCUCACACAAUUGGGGAAAAUAUAAUUUGAAUUCUAUAUUAAAAGAUUAAAUUUGGCAUACAUUCUUGAGAGAAGACUUCUCAAUGCAGCUCUGUUGCUUUUCCUGGUAGUUCCCGUCAAGACAAUAAAUACUAUAGCAUGUGUAAGAUUUCAAUACCUUAACAGAAUCAUGGACUGGAAAAAGAGAGAAACGAACUCUCCUCACAUCAUAUAUAAUUUUUCCUGGCUAGGCUGCUGUUGACCCUGAUCUUUUCUCCAAAACAUUGUACCUAACCAGAAUGGGAAGAAGAACAGAAUCAACUUUUGUGGAAACAGUCUCCAGAUAAACUAUAAGACCAAUCUACUUGUCACCUUUAUGUCUCAACUGGAAUAGCAGCUGUUAGGGUGAUCUUAACAGCCAUGCAUGAAGAUGGUAUAACUGCUGACAACCUGGAUUCUGAAAGACUGUGUAGAGAAGUUGCCUCACUUUUCUGAAUGAACAGGUCUAUAACAAGCAAGAAAUAAAAGUCUGUUGUUUUCAGCUACUGAAAUAUGGGGGUCUAUUUUUUUUAUUGCAGCAUCACAUCCUAACUAAUAUAACAAAUUAUAUUAAUUAU